GAUGAACGCUGGCGGCGUGCCUAAUACAUGCAAGCCGAGCGAAUGGAUUAAGAGCUUGCUCUUAUGAAGUUAGCGGCGGACGGGUGAGUAACACGUGGGUAACCUGCCCAUAAGACUGGGAUAACUCCGGGAAACCGGGGCUAAUACCGGAUAACAUUUUGAACCGCAUGGUUCGAAAUUGAAAGGCGGCUUCGGCUGUCACUUAUGGAUGGACCCGCGUCGCGUUAGCUAGUUGGUGAGGUAACGGCUCACCAAGGCAACGAUGCGUAGCCGACCUGAGGGGGUGGGCGGCCACACUGGGACUGAGACACUGCCCAGACACCUACGGGAGGCAGCAGUAGGGAAUCUUCCGCAAUGGACGAAAGUCUGACGGGGCACCGCCGCGUGAGUGAGGAAGGCUUUCGGGUCGUAAAACUCUGUUGUUAGGGAAGAACAAGUGCUAGUUGAAUAAGCUGGCACCUUGACGGUACCUAACCAGAAAGCCACGGCUAACUACGUGCCAGCCGCCGCAGUAA
rnacentral:rRNA from 1 species